rnacentral:lncRNA from 1 species
AGUCAUCAACCUCUUAACAUACGAGAAGUAAUUUCUAAGGUAAAUAAAUUCCAAAGAUCUUUCCUUCAGUAGUAGUGGUUCUUCUGGCGCUAGAAAAUGAUUAUAGGAUAACUAUAAAUUCUAUAAAGCACUUAAGUAAAUUUGUAUGUUCUUACAUACACUUAAAAAUUUGUUUGACUGGGCUUGGUGGCUCACGCCUAUAAUCCCAGCACUUUGGAGGCCAAGGCGGGCAGAUCACUUGAGGUCAGGAGUUCAAGACAAGCCUGGCCAACAUGGUGAAACCCUGCCUCUACUAAAAAUACAAAAAUUAGCCAGGUGUGUAGAGAUGGGGUUUCGCUAUGUUGGC